GGACUGCUCCGCUGACGACCGGCGCACGGGUGCGGAACGCGUAUGGAACCAACCCCAAUCAGGGGGAUAGUCCAGGGAAACUUGGAUUAAUACCCCAUAGUAUUAUUUGAUUGCAUGAUCGAAUAAUUAAAGGUUACGGAUUGAGAUGGCCAUGCGUAUCAUUAGCUAGUUGGUAAGGUAACGGCUUACCAAGGCGACGAUGAUUAGGGGCCCUGAGAGGGGGAUCCCCCACACUGGUACUGAGACACGGACCAGACUCCUACGGGAGGCAGCAGUGAGGAAUAUUGGACAAUGGUCGGAAGACUGAUCCAGCCAUGCCGCGUGCAGGAUGACUGCCCUAUGGGUUGUAAACUGCUUUUGUACGAGAAGAACACCCUCUUCGUGAAGAGGACUGACGGUAUCGUACGAAUAAGGACCGGCUAACUCCGUGCCAGCAGCCGCGGUAAUACGGAGGGUCCGAGCGUUAUCCGGAAUCAUUGGGUUUAAAGGGUCCGUAGGCGGGCUAUUAAGUCAGAGGUGUAAUUGUGCAGCUCAACUGUAGAACUGCCUUUGAUACUGAUAGUCUUGAGUUAUGGUGAGGUAGCCGGAACAUGUGGUGUAGCGGUGAAAUGCAUAGAUAUCACAUAGAACGCCGAUUGCGAAGGCAGGUUACCAACCAUAUACUGACGCUGAUGGACGAAAGCGUGGGGAGCGAACGGGAUUAGAUACCCCGGUAGUCCACGCCGUAAACGAUGGAUACUAGCUGUUGGGUUUUCGGACUCAGCGGCCAAGCGAAAGUGAUAAGUAUCCCACCUGGGGAGUACGUUCGCAAGAAUGAAACUCAAAGGAAUUGACGGGGGCCCGCACAAGCGGUGGAGCAUGUGGUUUAAUUCGAUGAUA
rnacentral:rRNA from 1 species